rnacentral:rRNA from 1 species
GAAAGUAAAUAAGGGCGUAUGGGGAAUGCCUAGGCUCUUGGAGGCGAAGAAAGACGUGGUAAGCUGCGAAAAGCUCCGGGGAUUUGCAAACAAGAUUUGAUCCGGAGAUUUCUGAAUGGGACAACCCGUCAGGUAGAAGACCUGACACAUCGUAAGAUGGGCCAACCCUCUGAACUGAAACAUCUUAGUAGGAGGAGGAAAAGAAAGAAACAUCGAUUUCCUGAGUAGCGGCGAGCGAAAGGGAAAAAGCCUAAACCGGUAUUGUUACGGCAAUGCCGGGGUUGUAGGACUGCAACAUUCAAGUAACAAUGAACUGGAACGAUCUGGAAAGUUCGUCCAUAGAGGGUGAAAGGCCCGUACAGGUAAGUUCGUUAUGCGAUAGCAGUAUCCUGAGUAGGGCGGGACACGAGGAAUCCUGUCUGAAUCUGCCGGGACCACCCGGUAAGGCUAAAUACUCCCAAGAGACCGAUAGUGAACCAGUACCGUGAGGGAAAGGUGAAAAGAACCCCGAACAGGGGAGUGAAAUAGAACCUGAAACCAUACGCUUACAACCGGUCGGAGCAGCUUCGUGCUGUGACGGCGUGCCUAUUGAAUAAUGAGCCUACGAGUUACUAAUCACUGGCGAGGUUAAGUGCACGGAUGCACGGAGCCGAAGCGAAAGCGAGUCUGAACAGGGCGGCUAGUCAGUGGUUGUAGACGCGAAACCUUGCGAUCUACCCUUGAGCAGGUUGAAGGUUGGGUAAAACCAACUGGAGGACCGAACGAAUAAGCGUUGAAAAGCUUCUCGAUGACUUGAGGGUAGGGGUGAAAGGCUAAUCAAGCUGGGAAAUAGCUCGUACUCCCCGAAAUGCCUUUAGGGGCAGCGUUGUAAUUAAGAGUCUACUGGAGGUAGAGCUACUGAUUGGAUGCGGGGGCUUCACCGCCUACCAAAUCCUGACAAACUCCGAAUGCCAGUAGUAUGAUUUACAGCAGUGAGCGACCGGGUGCUAAUGUCCGGUUACGAGAGUGGAACAACACAGACCAGCAACUAAGGUCCCGAAGAGUAUACUAAGUUGAUCUAACGAUGUUUUGCUGCAGAGACAGCUAGGAUGUUAGCUUGGAAGCAGCUAUUCAUUCAAAGAGUGCGUAACAGCUCACUAGUCGAGCGGCAAAGCGUGGAUAAUAAACGGGCAUCAAGUAUACCACCGAAGUUCUGGGCACGAAAGUGCGGUAGGGGAGCAUUCCAUUGACGUCGAAGCCAUUCCGCGAGGAUAGGUGGAGUUUAUGGAAAAGCAAAUGUAGGCAUGAGUAACGAUAAUGCGGGAGAGUAACCCGCACACCGCAAGACCAAGGUUUCCUGAUCAACGCUAAUCGGAUCAGGGUUAGUCGGGUCCUAAGGGUAAGCCGAACGGUGAUCUCGAUGGACAAUCGGUUAAUAUUCCGAUACUAACAUAUACCUCGAUGGAGAGACGAAGGAACGUAAGUGACGCCGCCUGACGGAAUAGGUGGUUAAAGGGCGUAGGUAUAGGGACAGAUUAAGAGUUAGUCCUUGCUGAAACCCGACAGUACGGAGCGGCUACGGCCAAUCUGAUAGUUCACCCAAGUCGACUUCCGAGAAAAUCUUCUAAGUUAUAGUAUAUGUUACCCGUACCGUAAACCGACACAGGUGGUCGAGGAGAGUAUCCUAAGGUGCUCGAGUGAAUCACGGUUAAGGAACUAGGCAAAUUAACCCCGUAACUUCGGGAAAAGGGGUCCCUACGCGAGUAGGGCGCAGCGAAGAGGUCCAGGCGACUGUUUAUCAAAAACACAGGGCUCUGCAAAUUCGAAAGAAGACGUAUAGGGCCUGACACCUGCCCGGUGCUGGAAGGUUAAGAGGGGAUGUCAUCGCAAGAGAAGCAUUGAAUCGAAGCCCCAGUAAACGGCGGCCGUAACUAUAACGGUCCUAAGGUAGCGAAAUUCCUUGUCGGGUAAGUUCCGACCUGCACGAAUGGUGUAACGAUCUGGACACUGUCUCAACCGUGAGCUCGGUGAAAUUGUAGUCCCGGUGAUGAUGCCGGGUACCCGCAACGGGACGAAAAGACCCCGUGAACCUUUACUAUAGCUUAACGCUGAAUUUGGGUACACAAUGUGUAGGAUAGGC